rnacentral:rRNA from 1 species
GGUAUGGUAUUGGCUUACCGGGGCAACGACGGGUAACGGGGAAUUGGGGUUCGAUUCCGGAGAGGGAGCCUGAGAGACGGCUACCACAUCUAAGGAAGGCAGCAGGCGCGUAAAUUACCCAAUCCUGACACAGGGAGGUAGUGACAAGAAAUAACAAUACGGGACUAAGUCUUGUAAUUGGAAUGAUGGAGAUUUAAACCUCUUCCAGAGUAUCAAUUGGAGGGCAAGUCUGGUGCCAGCAGCCGCGGUAAUUCCAGCUCCAAUAGCGUAUAUUAAAUUUGUUGCAGUUAAAAA